rnacentral:tRNA from 1 species
GCCGGGAUGGCGGAAUUGGUUUACGCGCGUCACUUAAGAUGACGUGACCGAAAGGUCGUGUGGGUUCGACCCCCACUCCCGGCA